GAAAACAUGAAUGUGUUAUUUCAGAGAACAUGACCUUGAAACUUAAUGGCGGCGGCAAACAUGAACUGCAUGCGAGAACAUUAGUAUUGAAGGAUUGAAGUCUAUUACAUCUUAGCCCAAGUCAAUGUAUCUUGCAGUUGGAUUUUAGAAUGCGUGCUCUACUUGAAGAUUUUAUAAUAGG